UACGUAGGCAGCGAGCGUUGUUCGGAGUUACUGGGUGUAAAGGGUGUGUAGGCGGUUCUUUUAAGUUUGGUGUGAAAUCUCCCGGCUCAACCGGGAGGGUGCGCCGAAUACUGAGGGACUCGAGUGCGGGAGAGGAAAGUGGAAUUCCUGGUGUAGCGGUGAAAUGCGUAGAUAUCAGGAGGAACACCGGUGGUGUAGACGGCUUUCUGGACCGUAACUGACGCUGAGACGCGAAAGCGUGGGGAGCAAACAGG
rnacentral:rRNA from 1 species